rnacentral:rRNA from 1 species
GAUAAACGCUGGCGGCGUGCAUGAGACAUGCAAGUCGAACGAACGAGCUUGCUCGUUAGUGGCGAACGGCUGAGUAACGCGUAGGUGACCUGCCCUGAAGUGGGGGAUAACGGCCCGAAAGGGUUGCUAAUACCGCAUGUGGCGACGUGUUCGUUCACGUCCUCAAAGCCGCGAGGCGCUUCAGGAGGGGCCUGCGUCCGAUUAGCUCGUUGGUGGGGUAAAGGCUAACCAAGCCUACGAACUGUAGCUGGUCUGAGAGGACGACCAGCCACCCUGGAGCUGAGACGCGGUCCAGACUCCUGCGGGAGGCAGCAGUGGGGAAUUUUGGACAAUGUACGAAAGUCUGAUCCGUCCAUUCCGCGUGCAGGAUGAAGGCCCUCGGGUUGUAAACUGCUUUUGUACGGAACGAAAAGGUCUCUCUUAAUACGGGGGACUCAUGACGGUACCGUAAGAAUAAGCACCGGCUAACUACGUGCCAGCAGCCGCCGUAACAC